AUAGUGAGAUCCUGCUGAUCCCAUAGGAACAGCCCACUGAUCCCAUACAGACAGCCCACUGAUCCCAUAUGGGCAGCCGCCUCAUCCCAUACAGACAGCCUACUGAUCCCAUAGGGACAGCCUGCUGAUCCCAUAGUGAGAUCCUGCUGAUCCCAUAGAGAGAUCCUACUGAUCCCAUAGUGAGAUCCUGCUGAUCCCAUACAGACAGCCCACUGAUCCCACACGGACAGCCUUCUGAUCCCAUACAGACAGCCCACCGAUCCCACACGGGCAGCCUUCUGAUCCCAUACGGACAGCCUGCUGAUCCCAUAGUGAGAUCCUGCUGAUCCCAUACAGACAGCCCACUGAUAUCAUACGGGCAGCCGCCUCAUCCCAUACAGACAGCCCACUGAUCCCACACGGACAGCCUGGUGGUCCCAUAGUGAGAUCCUGCUGAUCCCAUACAGACAACCCACUGAUCCCAUACGGACAGCCACCUCAUCCCAUACAGACAGCCCACUGAUCCCACACGAACAGCCUGCUGAUCCCCUAGUGAGAUCCUGCUGAUCCCAUAGAGAGAUCCUACAGAUCCCAUAGGAACAGCCUGCUGAUCCCAUACAGACAGCCCGCUGAUCCCAUACAGACAGCCUGCUGAUCCCAUAGUGAGAUCCUACUGAUCCCAUACAGACAGCACACUGAUUCCAUAUGGACAGCCACCUCAUCCCAUACAGACAGCCCACUGAUCCCAUAGGGACAGUCUGCUGAUCCCAUACAGACAGCCCACUGAUCCCAUACGGGCAGCCGCCUCAUCCCAUACAGACAGCCUGGUGGUCCCAUAGUGAGAUCCUACUGAUCCCAUACAGACAGCCCACUGAUCCCAUACGGACAGCCUGGUGGUCCCAUAGUGAGAUUCACUGAUCCCAUAGGAACAGCCUGCUGGUCCCAUACAGACAGCCCACUGAUCCCAUAGGGACAGUCUGCUGAUCCCAUACGGACAGCCUGCUGAUCCCAUAGUGACAGCCUGCUGAUCCCAUGGUGACAUUACGGUGAUCCCAUAGUGACAGCCUUCUGAUCCCAUAGUGUCAGCCUGGUACUGCUAUGGUGGGAUCCUGCUGAUCCCAUAGCAACAUCCUGCUGAUCUCAUAGGGACAGCCUGGUGAUCCCAUAGUGACAGCUUGCUGAUCCCAUAGGGACAUCCUGGUGAUCCCAUACAGACAGCCUUCUGAUCCCAUGGUGACGUUGCGGUGAUCCCAUAGUGACAGCCUGCUGAUCCCAUAGUGACAUCCUGGUGAUCCCAUACAGACAGCCCACUGAUCCCAUACGGACAGCUGCUGAUCCCAUAAUGAGAUCCUGCUGAUCCCAUGGUGACAUCCUUGUGAUCCUGUGGUGACAUCCUGCUGAUCCCAUGGUGACAUCCUGGUGAUCCCAUAGUGAGGUCCUGGUGAUCCCAUGGGGACAUCCUGGUGCUGCCAUGGUGACAUCCUGGUGAUCCCAUAGUGACAUCCUGGUGAUCCCAUGGGGACAUUCAGGUGAUCCCAUGAUGACAUCCUGGUGAUCCCAUGGGGACAUUCAGGUGAUCCUAUGGGGACCUCCUGGUGAUCCCAUAAUGAGCUCCUGGUGAUCCCAUGGGGACAUCCUGGUGCUGCCAUGGUGACUCCUGGUGAUCCCAUGGGGACAUUCAGGUGAUGCCAUGGUGACAUCCUGGUGAUCCCAUAGUGAGGUCCUGGUGAUCCCAUGGAGACAUUCAGGUGAUCCCAUGGGGACGUUCAGGUGAUCCCAUGGUGGAAUCCUGGUGAUCCCAUAGUGAGAUCCUGGUGAUCCCGUGGUGACAUUCAGGCGAUCCCAUGGUAACAUCCUGGUGAUCCCAUGGUGACAUUCAGGUGAUCCCAUGGGGACAUUCAGGUGAUCCCAUGGUGACAUCCUGGUGCUGCCAUGGUGACAGCCUGGUGAUCCCAUCGCGACAUCCUGCUGAUCCCAUGUUGACCUCCUGGUGAUCCCAUGGUGAUGUUAUGGUGAUCCCAUGGGGACAUUCAG
ensembl:lncRNA